rnacentral:rRNA from 1 species
UACGGAGGGUGCGAGCGUUGUCCGGAAUCACUGGGCGUAAAGGGCGCGUAGGCGGCCUGAUAAGUAGGGGGUGAAAUCCUGCGGCUUAACCGCAGGGCUGCCUUCUAAACUGUCAGGCUGGAGCACAGUAGAGGCAGGUGGAAUUCCCGGUGUAGCGGUGGAAUGCGUAGAGAUCGGGAAGAACAUCAGUGGCGAAGGCGGCCUGCUGGGCUGUUGCUGACGCUGAGGCGCGACAGCGGUGGGGGAGCAAACAGG